AAAACUACCAAUUCGGUGGCAGCAACUCAACAAUGGGUUGUUCGAUUCAUCUGAAAAUUUCAGAGCUGAUAGAUCUUGACCAAUUGAACAAUUUUACCCCAUGUCAGAUUUGCUCUAAAAGCUUUAGUUUUUGAGAUAUAAGCCAAAAACUGCAUUUGACCCCUAUGUUCUAUUUUUAGCCAUGGCGGCCAUGUUUGUCGAUGGAUCAAAACUUCGGAUACAAUUUAUAAACUAGAUACCCUAAGGAACAUUUAGUUAAAGUUUGAAGGUAUUUGGCCAAGUAGUUUCAGAGGAGAAGAUUUUUUAAAUAGUU